AUUUAAAUAGCUUAUAAUAAGAGCAUAACAUUGAAGCUGUUAAGGAGAUAUUUUAUCUUUAAAUA
rnacentral:tRNA from 1 species